GACGAACGCUGGCGGCGUGCUUAACACAUGCAAGUCGAACGAAGUGGCGAACGGGUGAGUAACGCGUAAUCAACCUGCCCUUCAGAGGGGGACAACAGUUGGAAACGACUGCUAAUACCGCAUACUGAAGGAGGGGAUUGCGUCUGAUUAGCUAGUUGGAGGGGUAAUGGCCUACCAAGGCGAUGAUCAGUAGCCGGGCUGAGAGGAUGACCGGCCACAUUGGGACUGAGACACGGCCCAGACUCCUACGGGAGGCAGCAGUGGGGAAUCUUGGGCAAUGGACGAAAGCCUGACGGAGCAACGCCGCGUGAGUGAAGAAGGUUUUCGGAUCGUAAAACUCUGUUGUUAGAGAAGCGGUAUCUAACCAAAAAGCCCCGGCUAACUACGUGCCAGCAGCCGCGGUAAUAC
rnacentral:rRNA from 1 species